rnacentral:misc_RNA from 1 species
GUAUAUAUGGCAAAAUUAUGGUUGUUAAUAAUGUCUCUAUGGCAGAUGAGGUUGUAUAUAAGCUUAUGAAUCAGUAUAGGCAUUUUGUCCAUGCAUGUGACACUGAGGUGGCCAAAAUUGAUGUGAAGGCAGAAACGCCCAUUGACCAUGGAGAGAUAACAUGCUUCAGUAUUUAUUCUGGACCAGAGGCAGAUUUUGGAAACGGCAAAUCCUGUAUCUGGGUAGAUGUUUUGGAUGGCGGUGGCAAGGAUCUUUUGGCUAAAUUUGCUCCAUUUUUCGAGGACCCAGAUAUCAGAAAGGUUUGGCA